rnacentral:tRNA from 1 species
GCCAGAGUGGCGGAAUUGGCAUACGCGCACGGUUUAGGACCGUGUCCCGAAAGGGUUGUGGGUUCGACUCCCAUCUCUGGCA